GAUGAACGCUGGCGGCGUGCCUAAUACAUGCAAGUCGAGCGAACGGACGAGAAGCUUGCUUCUCUGAUGUUAGCGGCGGAAGGGUGAGUAACACGUGGAUAACCUACCUAUAAGACUGGGAUAACUUCGGGAAACCGGAGCUAAUAACGGAUAAUAUUUUGAACCGCAUGGUUCAAAAGUGAAAGACGGUCUUGCUGUCACUUAUACAUGGAUCCGCGCUGUAUUAGCUAGUUGGUACGGUAACUGCUUACCAAGGCAACGAUGCAUAGCCGACCUGAGAGGGUGAUCGGCCACACUGGAACGUGGACACGGUCCAGACUCCUACGGGAGGCAGCAGUAGGGAAUCUUCCGCAAUGGGCGGAAGCCUGACGGAGCAACGCCGCGUGAGUGAUGAAGGUCUUCGGAUCGUAAAACUCUGUUAUUAGGGAAGAACAUAUGUGUAAGUAACUGUGCACAUCUUGACGGUACCUAAUCAGAAAGCCACGGCUAACUACGUG
rnacentral:rRNA from 1 species